CCAUAGCUUCAGAAGCCGUUCGUAUCUGCUGUGGUCUAAGCUCUUGGCAAGAGGUAGUGGUGGGAGUCAGUCUACUAUUUUUCAUAAUGAAAAAAUGAGUGAAAUUUUUGAAAUGCAGGUGCCACAAAAUUCAGGCAAGUUACAGAAGGGCACCUGGAGCUGAAAAAGGCUGAGAAACCAGUGUACUAGGUACAGGAAGCCAUGAUGAUAGCUUUCUCUACAGCAUCUUAAAUAGCAACUGGAUAUAUUUUUCAUGCCUGUUAAUGGGGACUGAUUUCAGAAAUGCUCCGGUGAAGACAUUAAGUAGGACUGGAAUUGUCUCCUCGUUUUAUUCACCUUAGGCCUAAAGGCCUCAAGUUGCAGUUUGUUCAUUACUGUACCUGCCAGUUUUCAGGGACUCUCCAGCGCUUGACACUCCUCACUUCCCUCUCCAGCGCUCUGCGCCGUCUUCCCCAGGGCACUAAAGUUCCUGGUUAUGCCUCUGGCUUUGCUUACACAAAAAAUUGACCCAGUUUACCUCUGGUUUACUCAAUCUGGCCAAUUUAAGUAGUGCACACCAAUUCACAGGUGGUUUUCUUGGUGUAGCUUGUGUUGAUAACUUUUUUAAACCAAUUUUAAUUAAAUAGGCACAAUAUCUGGCUCGGUGAGGCCUGAAACAUUAUUUCCCACACCCUUUGCAUAGUCAUGCAUGCACAUAGGAAAAGAAAGGAGAAAGUGCUUGAUGAAGUUACGGAACCACUUUGAUCUCAGUUAAUUUACUACAUAUCUGCUCCCUGACAUAGGAAGUUGCUUGGCUUACCUUUCUAGUAGGAUCUAUUCAUUUAGCAAUAGCAGUUAUAAUUAUGCUUUAAAAAUACUUACAGUAAAAUCUGAUUUCACAUGCUCCUGCAUUUUGGGGGGAGGGGAAAAAUCUUGACUAGAAAGUCUCACUUCUUGAAUGAAACUUUCCGUGCUUCAAAGCUCUCAAAGCUAAACAGAAUUAUUGAAAACUAGGGUUGGAAGGGACCUCAGGAGGUCACCUAGUCUAAUGCCCUGCUUGAAGCAGGACUACCCCCAACUACAUCACCCCACCAAGGCUUUUAACAUUUCCAAGUGAACAUAAGUAAUAGGUUUAGAUGCCAAAAAUGAGUCCAGUAAGGCAGUUAUUUUAGUACUGUAGUGUAUAUGAAUCAUUGUGUUCCUGUGAACUUGAACGUGUAGGAAGAAUUAUAUUUGUCAAUCUUCUUUUGUUAAAUAGAAACCAAAAGACUUAUCUAGGCAGAAUUGUGGUGGGGGAUAUUUAUUCCAGUUUUUGCUAUAAUUUUAAAUCUUCCAAUUUGAAUGUUGUAUCACUGGGAUUUUUACCUUUAAAUGGGUAAAGUAUUGUCAUGAAAUACUGUAUGAUGCACACCCAAAGAGAAAGUACAAUGUAUUUUAAGGUUGGGAAAUUAUAUUAGAGCAAAUAGAAGCAAAAGUGUCUAGCCAAACCAAUAAUUACCCUUCCAUGAAUACUAGAUUCUGUUUCUCACCUGUCUAAACGCUUUCCUCUGGUGAGAUAGUAUCAUCUUUUUACAUUAAUCUUAGGAUUUAGUAUGGGAUAUUUUAAAAAUUGCUCUUCUGUGUAAAGUUAAGACUAACAGUCCUGAUUUCCUCAAUGCUGGAAAAAGCCCCUCUUUUUCCUGAUUUACAUACUUAGAAACAUGUUUCUAUUUUAACAAUGAUUGAUGGAGGUUGGGUGUUUUGCUUUUGUUUUGGCGAGUCUUUGCUUUUACACUGGUAUGUGGUAUCAUAAGUGGUAGGUGAUUUCCCUUGUGGAGUGGGGGGUGGGGUUCCAAAGAGGAAAUCAUCCACUAUGAAUGCUUUGGGCUUGAUUCAGUACUCUGUAAAGUCAAUGAAAAGACUCCCAUUCAUCUCAGUGUCAAUUGGAUUGGAUCCUUAAAAUGGCUUUUCUUGGGGAAACAAGAAAGAUUAAAAAUAGAUUUAAAAAAUAAAUAAAAAAACAAGACGGCUUAAAAAUAGAAUGAAAAGUUUUGACUUUUAAGCUGCUAGUUCAGGUCUAGUAAAGGCUGGUAGGGAAUAAAAGUCGUAACUGUUUGGGAACCUUUUGGCCUUUUUGAAGAUAGGCUAGUAUGAUUUGUGGUGGAAAAGCAUCAAACCCUACUUUCCAGCUUUUCUUGUGCUGUUUUCAAGGUUGCUUUGAAGACUGUUUGUUGGCUCUGUUAAUAUCUUUGGAAAUGGUGAUUUGUAUUGGACAUGGAACUUUUGUAACUCUUGGAAAGGAUUUCUAAAUGUAUUGUCUACAGAACUAACCGUGGGUAUUUUUAGAGUCCAAAAUGUGAACUGAUUCACUAAUUGAGAAAUUAACUGUUUUUUCUUCUUCUUUCAGCGCUACAACUUGUUGUGAAGCAUUUACAGCUGCUCCACUUGUGCAUAUUUUCAAACAGGCAGGAUCUUUUGAAAACGAUACCUCAUGUUAUAUUAUUAAAAUGGCUAUCCAUACAAGGCUGAGUGUAAAAAUGAAAAUGCUGACAGGUUCAAGCAGGACAGUUUCAGGAAUGUAUGACUUGAGAGAGGCAGCCAGACAGACAAUCCAAAUGCUUCAGUUGGCAGGAUGAAGUGAUAUGCUAAUGUAAGAGAAAAGGUGGGUGUACAAUGGCAAGGAAAUAAAUACCCGUUAAAGAGGUG